GAGAUCUUAGCUCAGUUGGUUUAGAGCGCUUCCUUGACAGGGAAGAGGUCGAGGGUUCGAUUCCCCCAGGUCUCA
rnacentral:tRNA from 1 species